AAUUUUGGACAAUGGGGGAAACCCUGAUCCAGCCAUCCCGCGUGUAUGAUGAAGGCCUUCGGGUUGUUAAGUACUUUUGGCAGAGAAGAAAAGGCAUCCCCUAAUACGGGAUGCUGCUGACGGUAUCUGCAGAAUACGCACCGGCUAACUACGUGCCAGCAGCCGCGGUAACAGGUAGGGUGCAAGCGUUACUCGGAAUGAGUGGGCGUAAAGCGUGUGUAGGCGGUUCGGAAAGAAAGAUGUGAAAUAACAGGGCUCAACCUUGGAACUGCAUUUUUAACUGACGAGCUAGAGUAUGUCAGAGGGGGGUAGAAUUCAACGUGUAGCAGUGAAAUGCGUAGAUAUGUGGAGGAAUACAGAUGGAGAAGGCAGCCCCCUGGGAUAAUACUGACGCUCAGACACGAAGGCGUGGGGAGCAAACAGG
rnacentral:rRNA from 1 species